rnacentral:lncRNA from 1 species
AAGGACAGGAGUUAAGUAAGAGCAUAAAAGGUCAUGUUACAUAAUUACAGCAUGCUUACUCAUUGUGAAUAAAAUUAUAAAGUUUUGCUAAAUUUAACAUAUGUUAAAAAAUAUUUCAAGUAAGGAGGAUUCCCUCAGUUUAAAUCAGUUAAUAUAAAAUUUAAAAGUAAAAGCUCUUGAUGUAAUUGUAUAGCAAAGUACUACCAUGCACUUUUAUCUUACAUUUUAAAAUGCAUCUUUUUAAUGUAUUAUUUAUAAUGUUUUGUUCUGCAGUGAGAACUUAAAACUACCUUAAAAAAAAUUCUGAAAACUCUAUAUCCAAAGCAGAUAAGCUGCUUUAACUUCCAAUAAAAAUAAUUGUGGUUACACUUUCCUUAAAGCAAGAAUUCAACUUUAUAGCUGAUGGAAGCAGGAAGCUAAAAGUGCUUUCCUUAAAAAGAAUGAUUUUUUUUUUAAAGUAAAUUGACCGAGAAGCCUUUAAGAACAAGAGAGUUCUAAUCAUGGUGGGCAAGGGACUCUUUAGCUUCCAGUAUAGGGAAGCCUGUCUAGUUUCCUUUCCAUUCUUCAACCCUGUGGGAGAAAGGAUGAAAGGAUGCAGGAAGUCUGAGGGCUCAGCCAAUGCAGAGUGCCAGAAGAGACAAAUUAUAGCUUUGAAGAGCUGGGAAAUAGUCACAGAAAUGAAUCAGCCUUGCUAAGGUGGUAAUGGCUGAUUGCUGCGAGAUAAGCUACUCUGAACAGACUUUGUUGCCAAAAGCCUGAAGGUUGAGGACAAAACAUGAGGAAGCACUUCUGACUGGCAGCCUGAAUUCCUGAACUCCAGGUGAGUCAGAAGAGAACAUUCUAAUAAAAGACAAUAUGUAGGAUUAGGGCGAAUGAGGAUGGUAAAUUAAACAGAAUAUAAAAGUUAGUUGCUACAUGAUAUUAUUUCUCUUUUGAGCUUGUUCUAGGGGAAGUCUAGCAUCUCUUUAUUAAUUCUGAUUUCACUUAAUUCAUUAAUGUAUUUUAAUUAAAACACAGGAAGUGGUGCAUAACACCUUAUUAAUAAUUUAUAAUUAUGUGGUCAUACUAUUUGUCUUAUUGAAAAGCAGUCUCUGAAAAGCCUCAUAUUAUUGGCAAGCGCAUGUAUGCAAACUGGAAUCUUGAACACACACACUUGGGCAGUUAGAGGGAAGCUGCCAAAAGGAAAACAUGAAAACCAAAUUGAAAGUUACUGAAUUGAAAAGCAAAGUGGAGGUUGUUGUAAGUAGCUCACAUAUGAAGGACCAAAAA